ACAACCGUUCAGCAAAUCCUCCUUUAACCUCUGUUCUUGCAGCACCUACUGCUGCUAUGUGACAAUGACUGAGGUAGGGGUGAGUGUCUGUGCCCCACUGACCCUGUCUUGCCCAGACUGAGGUUAUAUGAUAGAUCCCACAUGAUUGUGAGAAUUUCCCUCACGUUCUUCAAAAUCCAAAAACUCAAGCCAGGCAUGGUGGCUUACACCUGUAAUCCCAACACUUUGGGAGGCCGAGGCAGGAGGAUUGCUUGAGCCCAAGAGUUCAAGACCAGCCUGGG
rnacentral:lncRNA from 1 species